UACGUAGGGACCAAGCGUUGUUCGGAUUUACUGGGCGUAAAGGGCGCGUAGGCGGCAAUUCAAGUCAUCUGUGAAAUCUCCGGGCUUAACUCGGAACGGUCAGAUGAUACUGCUUUGCUAGAGUGCGGAAGGGCAAUCGGAAUUCUUGGUGUAGCGGUGAAAUGCGUAGAUAUCAAGAGGAACACCUGAGGUGAAGACGGGUUGCUGGGCCGACACUGACGCUGAGUGCGCGAAAGCCAGGGGAGCAAACGGG
rnacentral:rRNA from 1 species